rnacentral:rRNA from 1 species
UGGAUGAUGUGGAUUAAUUCGAUGGCAACGCGAAGAACCUUACCUACCCUUGACAUGUCCGGAACUUGCCAGAGAUGGCUUGGUGCCCGAAAGGGAAUCGGAACACAGGUGCUGCAUGGCUGUCGUCAGCUCGUGUCGUGAGAUGUUGGGUUAAGUCCCGCAACGAGCGCGACCCUUAUCAUUAGUUGCUACGCAAGGGCACUCUAAUGAGACUGCCGGUGACAAACCGGAGGAAGGUGGGGAUGACGUCAAGUCCUCAUGGCCCUUAUAGGUGGGGCUACACACGUCAUACAAUGGAUGGUACAAAGGGUCGCCAACCCGCGAGGGGGAGCCAAUCCCAUAAAGCCAUUCGUAGUCCGGAUCGCAGUCUGCAACUCGACUGCGUGAAGUCGGAAUCGCUAGUAAUCGUGGAUCAGAAUGUCACGGUGAAUACGUUCCCGGGUCUU